GGAAGUAAAAGUCGUAACAAGGUUUCCGUAGGUGAACCUGCGGAAGGAUCAUUAACGAACUCUCGAGGGAAUGCGGUUGCUGCUGGACUUCUUAGAAAGUCAAUGUGCACACGGUGUUUCUUUCUGUUCAACCAAUCUACCCCCAUCUGUGCACCCCCUGUGAGCUGAGAACUCUCUCGGCUCAUGUCCUUUCCACGAAACAUCCCACCAGUCAUCAGUGUAUGAGCAGUCGUUCGAGCUUUGUCUCGACGUUUUAUCAUUAACACACAACUUUCAACAACGGAUCUCUUGGCUCUCGCAUCGAUGAAGAACGCAGCGAAAUGCGAUAAGUAAUGUGAAUUGCAGAAUUCAGUGAAUCAUCGAAUCUUUGAACGCACCUUGCGCCCCUCGGUACUCCGGGAGGCAUGCCUGUUUGAGUGUCUUCACACCGUCAACCCGAACAGCUUUCGGGCCUGUCGGAGUUUGGAGUUUGCAGCGUGCGGGAGGCUCUCGCGAGCCCCCGCUCCUUGCGGAAUGCAUCAGCGGAUGUCCACCUACGGGGACUGACCUUGGCAUGAUAAACAUCUGCGUCUCGGUUCGGACCCGCAUCUCUUGGCUCUGCUUCGAACUGUCGCGCCAUAUGCUUAUGCGACAACCCAUUGACAACUUUGACCUCAAAUCAGGUAGGAUUACCCGCUGAACUUAAGCAUAUCAAUAAGCGGAGGA
rnacentral:rRNA from 1 species